rnacentral:lncRNA from 1 species
AACAAUUGAUGUUUGAAACCAUGAGUUGUGGUGACUUGUAUGAGCAUAAAAAUGGUAUUGUAGAAUAUUUUUUAAAUCUGUUGCAGCUUGUUUUUGAUUGACACCGGAAGACAAGGAGGCGCGGCACUGAAGCAACUUGCAAAAAAAUUCGGACCGGAGGAUUGUGCUCCAGCGAGAAUCCUCCGACGCUCAAGUCAGAACGUGCAAACAGAGAAGUAGAGUUUUUAGCUCUCUGAGAUAAAUUACUUGAGUCCUCG